rnacentral:rRNA from 1 species
UGGAGAGUUUGAUCCUGGCUCAGGAUGAACGCUGGCGGCGUGCCUAAUACAUGCAAGUCGAGCGAACGGACGAGAAGCUUGCUUCUCUGAUGUUAGCGGCGGACGGGUGAGUAACACGUGGAUAACCUACCUAUAAGACUGGGAUAACUUCGGGAAACCGGAGCUAAUACCGGAUAAUAUUUUGAACCGCAUGGUUCAAAAGUGAAAGACGGUCUUGCUGUCACUUAUAGAUGGAUCCGCGCUGCAUUAGCUAGUUGGUAAGGUAACGGCUUACCAAGGCAACGAUGCAUAGCCGACCUGAGAGGGUGAUCGGCCACACUGGAACUGAGACACGGUCCAGACUCCUACGGGAGGCAGCAGUAGGGAAUCUUCCGCAAUGGGCGAAAGCCUGACGGAGCAACGCCGCGUGAGUGAUGAAGGUCUUCGGAUCGUAAAACUCUGUUAUUAGGGAAGAACAUAUGUGUAAGUAACUGUGCACAUCUUGACGGUACCUAAUCAGAAAGCCACGGCUAACUACGUGCCAGCAGCCGCGGUAAUACGUAGGUGGCAAGCGUUAUCCGGAAUUAUUGGGCGUAAAGCGCGCGUAGGCGGUUUUUUAAGUCUGAUGUGAAAGCCCACGGCUCAACCGUGGAGGGUCAUUGGAAACUGGAAAACUUGAGUGCAGAAGAGGAAAGUGGAAUUCCAUGUGUAGCGGUGAAAUGCGCAGAGAUAUGGAGGAACACCAGUGGCGAAGGCGACUUUCUGGUCUGUAACUGACGCUGAUGUGCGAAAGCGUGGGGAUCAAACAGGAUUAGAUACCCUGGUAGUCCACGCCGUAAACGAUGAGUGCUAAGUGUUAGGGGGUUUCCGCCCCUUAGUGCUGCAGCUAACGCAUUAAGCACUCCGCCUGGGGAGUACGACCGCAAGGUUGAAACUCAAAGGAAUUGACGGGGACCCGCACAAGCGGUGGAGCAUGUGGUUUAAUUCGAAGCAACGCGAAGAACCUUACCAAAUCUUGACAUCCUUUGACAACUCUAGAGAUAGAGCCUUCCCCUUCGGGGGACAAAGUGACAGGUGGUGCAUGGUUGUCGUCAGCUCGUGUCGUGAGAUGUUGGGUUAAGUCCCGCAACGAGCGCAACCCUUAAGCUUAGUUGCCAUCAUUAAGUUGGGCACUCUAAGUUGACUGCCGGUGACAAACCGGAGGAAGGUGGGGAUGACGUCAAAUCAUCAUGCCCCUUAUGAUUUGGGCUACACACGUGCUACAAUGGACAAUACAAAGGGCAGCGAAACCGCGAGGUCAAGCAAAUCCCAUAAAGUUGUUCUCAGUUCGGAUUGUAGUCUGCAACUCGACUACAUGAAGCUGGAAUCGCUAGUAAUCGUAGAUCAGCAUGCUACGGUGAAUACGUUCCCGGGUCUUGUACACACCGCCCGUCACACCACGAGAGUUUGUAACACCCGAAGCCGGUGGAGUAACCUUUUAGGAGCUAGCCGUCGAAGGUGGGACAAAUGAUUGGGGUGAAGUCGUAACAAGGUAGCCGUAUCGGAAGGUGCGGCUGGAUCACCUCCUUU